rnacentral:rRNA from 1 species
GUAGGGGGCGAGCGUUGUCCGGAUUCAUUGGGCGUAAAGAGCUCGUAGGCGGCUUGCUAAGUCGGGUGUGAAACCCCCGAGCUCAACUCGGGGUCGCCAUCUGAUACUGGUAUGGCUGGAGUCCGGUAGGGGACCAUGGAAUUCCUGGUGUAGCGGUGAAAUGCGCAGAUAUCAGGAGGAACACCGAUGGCGAAGGCAGUGGUCUGGGCCGGUACUGACGCUGAGGAGCGAAAGCGUGGGGAGCGAACAGGAUUAGAUACCCUGGUAGUCCACGCUGUAAACGUUGGGCACUAGGUGUGGGGCCUUACCAACGGGUUCCGUGCCGUAGCUAACGCAUUAAGUGCCCCGCCUGGGGAGUACGGCCGCAAGGCUA